AAUGUAAAUAUGUAAAAGCAAUCAACGUGACGUCCAUAACAUAUGCAGACACACACUCACACACAUUUGCAUUUAAGGAAGUGCAAGUCCGGAAGGCACGGCAGGCUAAUUAGAGUGUAUUCCAAGCCUAUCUCAAAUCAGACCAUUAAGCGAUGUGACACUACAUUCAACAGAGCCAUAGCUAUCGUCCCAAAUGCCACCUUAUUCCCUAUUUAGUACACUACUUUUAACCAGGGCCAUGGGGGCUCUGCUAGAGAAUAGUGCUCAAUACAGGGAAUAGGUUGCCAUUUGGGACACAGAUUUACAGUCAGCAGAGAGAGGAAAACGGAUAUCUAGAGAAUCACACUACUCUUCCUUCCUCUUAUUCUUCCUUCUUUACCUCGUCAUUCAUUCCCCUCUUUCCUGUCCUCUAUGGUGGGGGCCAGGCUAUGGGACCAGACUACGGAGCCAGGCCAGGUGAGAAGUGUCUUUGCAUGGGUCAGUGAACACCGUGCUGGGGGAGGGACCCACAGGGAGAACACCUGCCUGGUGCUGCCCAUCCUCCCUCUCUCUCUCUCGCUCUACCCCUCCUCUCCUCCCCACUCCCCUUCUCCUUUUCUCUCUCUCUCUCUCUCCCUCUACCUCUCCCCUCCUCUCCUCCCCACUCCCCUUCUCCUUUCCUCUCUCUUUUUCUCUCUCUGUCUCUCUCUCUCUCUGCCCUCCACCCUCCCACCCCCUCCACUCCCCUCCUGCUCCACUUGCUUCAGCUGCUAACACAAUCAGGCGCCAGGCGGACAUCUGCCCACCUCUGGGUAAUGGAGCUGUCACUAAUGUAGUCCGUUUACGCCCUGCUCUCAUUUAUGUCUCUCUCUCUCCUCCUCUCUUCCCCUCACACUUCACUCCCUCCUUCCAUCCCUCUGAGCACUGAACUGUAUAACUGCUGAAAUUAUGUCAAACUUUUCUCACCCUCCUCUCACUCCCCCUGUGACUGCCCCUAUGUGACGCAAAUUAAGAUAGUUCUAAUUUAGGCACUGUGAACACCUUGAGAUAUUCUGCAAGAAUCUCAACUGCAUACUCCUCACGUCAUCUCUCCUCUCCUCCUUUUCAAAACCCAUUAGAGUAGAAGGUUAGAGGGGAGGGACAUCUGGCUUUCUCAUCCAAUGGGUUUUGAGAAGGAGGUGAGUAGUGAUGAGAGAGGAUGUAAGGAGUACGCAUUUGAGAUUCUCCCCACCUUCAGCUUUAUGUUAUGUUUUAUGUUACGCUACGUUUUUUUUAUUCAAUACUGAUGAUAAACAAAGACUUUCAAUUAGUGACAGCCAGGGUGAAUCAAUGUGCACUGUAAAGGGAUUAGGGUGCCCUUUGGGAUGCAUCCUGGGUCAGCGGCAGGCCAGAGACUGGGCUCCUCCACCCAGGAAGACUGGGGGUACUCAUCCUCUCCUCUGGUUCUCCUGUGUCUCUUGUGCUCCUGCAUCUGCACUGCUUGCUCUUUGGGGUUUUAUGCUGGGUAUCUGUAAAGCACUUUAACAACUGCUGAUGUAAAAAGGGCUUUAUAAAUACAUUUUAUUGAUUGAUUGAUUGUGUUACAUUAGCUGCCCUGUCCUACUGUGAACUGGAAUGCUCCUCCCUAUAAAUGACUGAAUGACAUCUACUUAGCCAUUGGUAUUCACUUUGAUCUAUAAUUAAAGAAGCAACUCGAAACAACAUAGCUCUAAUAUAAAGAUGUAGGAUCUUAAUUUGAACCAGUUUGCUACAGCAGGAAAAUAAUAAUUCAGCAACAGGAAAUUUGAAUUAUUACGUGGAAUGUUAUUAAUGGGCAUUAAGGGUAAUCAAAUUAAGAUCUUAGAUAUGUAGUUUGUACAAAUAGUAUGUAUCCACUUACAGCUGGACAAAGCUGCAUAUCAUACAAUGAGAUGUGACAAUAUAAAAGCUGUGGAGUAACCUCAAAUAAAUAAACUAUUGUUACACAUUUAGGAUUUAAAUGAUCCUGAGAGAGGCAUUGAUUAGACUGGAAGGCUCUUCAGAGGGACAACAGCCUCUCCUUCACACCAAGGCCAUGGCAGCCAUUGUCAUGCACUCCGCAUUCUCACAUAUAGGCCUGGGAGGCAUUGAAUCUGUUGUGGUUGUUUUUCUCAUUAAAGUGUCAAAUUAUUAUUGUUAUUAUGAACAAUAACAACUAUUUGGAUUAUCCACUUAUGUAUUCAUAUGAAAAUGAAAAUAAGUUUGUGGAAUGAAUUAAGUGUUGUGUUAACUAUUGUGGAGAUGGAUGAUGGGUGCUGGGUGUGGUUUAUUGUACAAUGCACAGUAACAACCUUUAUGCUAUUCUGUCAGAUAGCUCAGUGCUGGACUUAUGUGGAAAGUGGAGACACUUUAAAAUCAGCGUUGAUGAAGGGACAUAAAAGUUACAAUGCAUCUGGAUGACUGUAUAUGUCUGGUAAGAUAAAGUAACACACAAGAGAAAGGAAUGCAUUUCUGCAUUCAGGUCUCUAGCUGCCCUCGCUCAUUAACCUUCAUAUCUGUGGAAAUUACGAGAGUCUGAUUAUAAGGAUGAAUUACAGGUGGAGGAGUGCUAUCUGCAUGCACACCGUUUUCUCUGUAUGUGUUUUAUGAGAGGUUUUAUAUAAGCAGCUGGAGACCGGGAGAUGAGUGGAGAGAAGAGUGGAGAAGGAUCAGAGAGAAGAGUGGGGAGAGGAGCGGAGAGAGGAACGGAGAAGAAGCGGAGAGAGGAACGGAGAGAGGAGCAGAGAGAGGAAAGGAGAAGGAGCGGAGAAGGAGCGGAGAGAGGAGUGGAGAGAGGAGCGGAGAAAAGAGCGGGGAGAGGAGCUGAGAGGAGCGGAGAGAGGAGUGGAGAGAGGAGCGGAGAGGAGCGGAGAGGAGCGGAGAGGAGCGGAGAGAGGAGUGAGGAUCUGGUAAAAAGAUUCACUGGUGAGAGUGCUCUUCUCCAAAGGCCCCUUCAUCUCCAUCUUCGCCAGCGACCCCCACAUCAUCAUCAAGGCCAUCAACCAGAACCUGAACAGCGUGCUCAGGGACUCCAACAUCAACGGCCAUGACUACAUGAGAAACAUCGUCCACCUGUCGGUCUUCCUCAACAGCCGGGGGUUGAGCAGCGCCAGAAAGAUGUGUGUGGCAGCGCCCGCUAACGGAGACACCGGAAACUCAGACGGACCUAUUCAGCUGUGUUGGCUGUACCUACUGACCAGGCUGCAGAAGACACAUUGGCACUGGCUGAUGGUGGUCAUCUGCUCGUGGGGG